UCUCCGUUGGUGAACCAGCGGAGGGAUCAUUACAGGACUCGCAAGACUCCUUACACCCUGUGAACCUUACUGUAUACGCGUUGCUUCGGCGGGUCCGCCCGCCGGCAGCAUACCACAUUCUGUUUCUCUGCGUUGGCAUCUCGAGAAAAAAGCAAAUAAGUUAAAACUUUCAACAACGGAUCCCUUGGUUCUG
rnacentral:misc_RNA from 1 species